GACGAACGCUGGCGGCGUGCCUAACACAUGCAAGUCGAGCGAGGUAUUUAUACCUAGCGGCGGACGGGUGAGUAACACGUGGGUAACCUGCCUCAUAGAGGGGAAUAGCCUUCCGAAAGGGAGAUUAAUACCGCAUAAUAUAUACCGGUAGCAUUAAUGGUAUAUCAAAGGAGAAAUCCGCUAUGAGAUGGGCCCGCGGCGCAUUAGCUAGUUGGAGAGGUAACGGCUCACCAAGGCGACGAUGCGUAGCCGACCUGAGAGGGUGAUCGGCCACAUUGGAACUGAGACACGGUCCAGACUCCUACGGGAGGCAGCAGUGGGGAAUAUUGCACAAUGGGGGAAACCCUGAUGCAGCAACGCCGCGUGAAUGAUGACGGCCUCGGUUGUAAG
rnacentral:rRNA from 1 species